GCUCUUACAGAUUUUAUUGCCAUAUACAAAAUAAUGGGUAAGCUAUCCCCCUUUCCUCCCUUAGAACUGACUUUUACAAAUGACAUUAAUUUGUUUUGCGUGGAGGUGUGGAGGUAAGAAGACAAUUUUGGGAGUCAGGUCUGGUCUCUAGGUCUCAGGGACGAGGUUCAGUUAUCAAGGUAGGCAGCAGGCGUCUUUACCCACUGUACCGGCUGGUUUUGUGUGUCAACUUGACACAGGCUGGAGUUAUCACAGAGAAAGGAGCUUCAGUUGAGGAAAUGCCUCCAAGAGAUCCAACUGCAAGGCAUUUUCUCAAUUAGUGAUCAAGGGGGAAAGGCCCCUUGUGGGUUGUGCCAUCCCUGGGCUGGUAGUCUUGGGUUCUAUAAGAGAGCAAGUUGAGCAAGCCAGGGGAGGCAAGUCAGUAAAGAACAUCCCUCCAUGGCCUCUGCAUCAGCUCCUGCUUCCUGACCUGCUUGAGUUCCAGUCCUGAUUUCCUUUGGUGAUGAACAGCAAUGUGGAAGUGUAAGCAGAAUAAACCCUUUCCUCCCCAACUUGCUUCUUGGUCAUGAUGUUUGUGCAGGAAUAGAAACCCUGACUAAGACACCCACUGAGUCAUCUCACUGGCCUUAGGACUGACUUUUAAAAUUAUGUGGUGCUGGGGUGAUGCCUCAGUCAGGACCUUACCUGCCGUACUACUGUGAGGAGUUGGGUUCAGAUCCUCAGACUCAUACAGAAAGCCACAUUCAACAGUGAAUGCUGUCAAUCCCAGCACCAGAAAGGAGACAGGAGGAUCUCUGGGGCUUAACGGCCAUCCAGGACCACUUAACUGGCAAGUUAUUGAUUCAGUGAGAAACUCUCUCAAAAAAUAAUGGUAGAGAGUGAUAGAGAAAGACACUUCAUGCUGACCUCUAGCUGCUUCAUACACACGCUCACCCCCCCCCCCCACCGCCCAACAAGCUCACAAACACUACUGCACCUACACACACAGAGAGAGAGAGAGAGAGAGAGAGAGAGAGAGAGGCUCACAAACACAUACCACUCAUAUACCACACACAUACACAGCACUUGGAGGGUGAGAAGGGGAGAAACUGGAGAUAAUUUUAU
rnacentral:lncRNA from 1 species